rnacentral:lncRNA from 10 species
AGUAACCUGAGUAUAUGUUCAGAUAAGUGAAUGGGGAGAUGGAUGGGUGGAUGGAUGGAUGGAUGGAUGGAUGGAUGGAAGAGAGAGAAAGAUACAUAGCAACCUGGGUAUAUGUUCAGAUAAGUGGAUGGACAGAUGGAUGGAUGGAUGGACAGAUGGAAGGAUGCAUGGAUGGAAGAAAGAAGGAUGUAUAGCAACCUGGGUAUAUGUUCAGAUAAGUGAAUGCAGAGAUGGAUGGAUGGAUGGAUGGAAGGAAGAGAGAAGAAUGGAUAGUACCCUUGGCAUAUGUUCAGAUAAGUGGAUGAACAGAUGGACAGAUGGAUGGAUGGAUGGAUGGAUGCAUGGAAGAGAGAAGAAUGGAUAGUAAGCUGGGUAUAUGUUCAGAUAAGUGGAUGGACAGACAGAUGAACAGAUGGAUGGAUGGUGGAUGGGUUAGUGAGAAGGUAGGUGGCCAUACACACAAAUGACAACUUUGAGAGCACAUGUUUGACUUAAAUCUUAGGGUCAUCACGUUCCCAGGAGACAAGCAGGUGGUGCGUUACUCCUCACCUUCUGUUCCCAGCAGCCCAAACUUCCUGUUUCCACCACUUUCCCUAAUCAAUUCAGACACUCAGGGAAUGAGGGGGUCAAAAUCUGAGUCAGCAGGAGGUCAGCCAACCUGGCCAGCGGUAUGGAUGCCCGAGGCAGCCCACUUGUGGGUGGUGACUUGAACCUACACAGGCCAUGGGGUAGGAAUUUGGGCAGUUACGUGGAUAAUUGGGAUAAAAACAACUCCACUCAAGAACCCGGAGGACUCGGGCCUCAUGGGCUCUGGUGGGACAUGAUCCUCAGUUCACUCCCCUCCCCAUCCCUGUGCAGGUCCUGACCCAGGGAGCCCCUCCCAUGCAGAGGGCAACGCUGAGCCGGCCCUGGGUACAGAUAGGUCUAAUCAUCCCUGUCUUCCCCCCCAGGGGAACCACAGCCCAUCUUUCCUCCAACACAAACCAACCACAUCCCUGGAUGGAACUCAGACAAACCACUUUCUAUUGACUUCAAUUUGCAUUUUAAAUAGGCUAAAUGGCUCUGGAAAGAAAGCAGAAGUUCAUUAGUGUUGUGAAAUGCCAUUUCCAUCAACUCCUUGCAUGGGAAUCCUAAUUACAGCUCCCUGGGGAGCAGUGGCAGGACCCAGGCCCACCGAGCCAGCAGCUGGAGCAGAAGUGAGCGGAGAGCAGCCUUGGCUUCCUGGGCCCUGGCUGGGAGAGCGGGGCUGCCUGGGAAAAGGAGCCCCCUCCUCCAACUCAGAGGCCCCUGGACCCUGACCUUGGCCGGCCAGCGGCCUGACCAGCAGCCGUGUCAGCAGCAUUGCCCCGGGAGCAGGGGCUCUCAGUCCUGGUGCGCUCUGGAACCCAAGGAGCCUGAGACAAUCUUGUGCCUGGAGACCCCCCCACCAAGAGAUGCAGGAGGCGUCCUCGUGACACAGCCCCACUGUAAGCCGAGAAGCAUCUGGAUUGUAGUUGACGUCUUCACUUCUCAUUGCAGCCCUGCCCCACUGUAAGUCGAGGAGCAUCUGGACUGUAGUUGACGUCUUCACUUCUCUUUGCACCCCUUGUGUGUCCGGCACAGGCUCCCAGGGCCGGGAAUUCUACUCACCCUGCGCGGCAGCUGCAGAAAUCCCACAGUGCCCAGGGACCACCGUGUCUCGGCUGCCCUCCCACGGGUGACAUCUGGGUCACUAUUCCCAGUUCUCAGCCACCAUACACAGCACAGCCACAAACACACGUGUGGGCAUGUCCUUGCGUGUUUGUGGCUCUUUCCAUAUGAUAUAAGAAUUAACUUCAAGGCCCCCAUUCUGAUAAGUUCCUCAGUCGGUACAGGACACCCAUCCUAGGCUGACCUCAGGAGACUCCUCUGAGGAAGUGAUG